GGGGUAUAGCUCAGAUGGUAGAGCGUUCGGUUCGCAUUCGAAAGGUCACGGGUUCGAUUCCCGUUAUCUCC
rnacentral:tRNA from 1 species